AUAUAUAUCCAUGCCAGCAGUCACAGUUAUUCAGAUGGAUUGUAGUCAUUCUGAGUCAGGUUUAUGGGACAAAGGCAACUUGUGGAGGAUGGUGCUCACAUCUUGCAGGAGUCAACAAGUGCAUCUUAGUGAUAGAAAGAGUCUCCGAUGAGCUCAGACUGUCUUCAAAGUGUCCAUCGACCUAUUUUCUCCUCUCUAAGGUUGGAAUUAGACUCUGAAAUUUGAAUCAAGUUAACCUACUCUGUAUAAGUUGGGCAUUAUUUGAUAAAAAUACAAGGCUGCUUUAAAACUUCCGUGAUGACGUCAUGUCAAUGAAAACUCUGGGUGGGAAGAGUGCUAGAGCAGAAGACUGACUAAUGAGAAGGAAAGAAUGAUACCA